CAGUGGCGAACGGGUGAGUAACACGUGAGCAAUCUGCCCCUGACUCUGGGAUAAGCGCUGGAAACGGCGUCUAAUACCGGAUACGAGCUGCGAAGGCAUCUUCAGCAGCUGGAAAGAACUUCGGUCAGGGAUGAGCUCGCGGCCUAUCAGCUAGUUGGUGAGGUAAUGGCUCACCAAGGCGUCGACGGGUAGCCGGCCUGAGAGGGUGACCGGCCACACUGGGACUGAGACACGGCCCAGACUCCUACGGGAGGCAGCAGUGGGGAAUAUUGCACAAUGGGCGCAAGCCUGAUGCAGCAACGCCGCGUGAGGGACGACGGCCUUCGGGUUGUAAACCUCUUUUAGCAGGGAAGAAGCGAAAGUGACGGUACCUGCAGAAAAAGCACCGGCUAACUACGUGCCAGCAGCCGCGGUAAUACGUAGGGUGCAAGCGUUAUCCGGAAUUAUUGGGCGUAAAGAGCUCGUAGGCGGUUUGUCGCGUCUGCUGUGAAAACCCGAGGCUCAACCUCGGGCCUGCAGUGGGUACGGGCAGACUAGAGUGCGGUAGGGGAGAUUGGAAUUCCU
rnacentral:rRNA from 1 species